AAGAGGAGUGAGGAUCAACUAUCCAUACGUCUGCAAAUCAGAAAAUAUAGUGUUGAUUCUAAGACUAAUGCACUACCAUCUGACCUCUU
rfam:Arabis alpina cultivar Pajares Aa.chr1_contig_3354, whole genome shotgun sequence.